rnacentral:rRNA from 1 species
AGAGUUUGAUCCUGGCUCAGAAUGAACGCUGGCGGCAUGCUUUACACAUGCAAGUCGAACGGCAGCACGGGUGCUUGCACCUGGUGGCGAGUGGCGAACGGGUGAGUAAUAUAUCGGAACAUGUCCGGAAGUGGGGGAUAACGUAGCGAAAGUUACGCUAAUACCGCAUAUGCCCUGAGGGGGAAAGGGGGGGAUCGCAAGACCUCUCGCUUUCGGAGUGGCCGAUAUCAGAUUAGCUAGUUGGUGAGGUAAAGGCUCACCAAGGCGACGAUCUGUAGCUGGUCUGAGAGGACGACCAGCCACACUGGGACUGAGACACGGCCCAGACUCCUACGGGAGGCAGCAGUGGGGAAUUUUGGACAAUGGGCGAAAGCCUGAUCCAGCCAUGCCGCGUGAGUGAAGAAGGCCUUCGGGUUGUAAAGCUCUUUCGGACAGAAAGAAAUCGCACUGGUUAAUACCUUGUGUGGAUGACGGUACUGUAAGAAGAAGCACCGGCUAACUACGUGCCAGCAGCCGCGGUAAUACGUAGGGUGCGAGCGUUAAUCGGAAUUACUGGGCGUAAAACGUGCGCAGGCGGUUUUGUAAGACAGACGUGAAAUCCCCGGGCUUAACCUGGGAACUGCGUUUGUGACUGCAAGGCUAGAGUACGGCAGAGGGGGGUAGAAUUCCACGUGUAGCAGUGAAAUGCGUAGAUAUGUGGAGGAAUACCGAUGGCGAAGGCAGCCCCCUGGGUCGAUACUGACGCUCAUGCACGAAAGCGUGGGGGAGCAAACAGGAUUAGAUACCCUGGUAGUCCACGC